rnacentral:rRNA from 1 species
GACGAACGCUGGCGGCGUGCUUAACACAUGCAAGUCGAACGGAAAGGCCCUGCAUUUGUGGGGUGCUCGAGUGGCGAACGGGUGAGUAACACGUGAGUAACCUGCCCUUGACUUUGGGAUAACUUCAGGAAACUGGGGCUAAUACCGGAUAGGAGCUCCUGCUGCAUGGUGGGGGUUGGAAAGUUUCGGCGGUUGGGGAUGGACUCGCGGCUUAUCAGCUUGUUGGUGGGGUAGUGGCUUACCAAGGCUUUGACGGGUAGCCGGCCUGAGAGGGUGACCGGCCACAUUGGGACUGAGAUACGGCCCAGACUCCUACGGGAGGCAGCAGUGGGGAAUAUUGCACAAUGGGCGGAAGCCGUAUGCAGCAACGCCGCGUGCGAGAUGACGGCCGUCGGGUUGGAAACCGCUUUCGCCUGUGACGAAGCGUGAGUGACGGUAAUGGGUAAAGAAGCACCGGCUAACUACGUG